AAUCAACGCUGGCGGCGUGCCUAACACAUGCAAGUCGAACGCGAAAAGGGCUUCGGCUCUGAGUAGAGUGGCGUCCGGGUGAGUAACGCGUGGGUAAUCUACCUUUGGGUGGGGAAUAACUAGUCGAAAGGCUAGCUAAUACCGCAUAACGCAAUUUUUCUAUUAGGGAAUUGUUAAAGCAGUAAUGUGCCUAAAGAUGAGCCUGCGUCUGAUUAGUUUGUUGGUAGGGUAAUGGCCUACCAAGACUACUAUCAGUAGCUGGUCUGAGAGGACGGCCAGCCACAAUGGCACUGAAACACGGGCCAUACUCCUACGGGAGGCAGCAGUGGGGAAUUUUGCGCAAUGAGCGAAAGCUUGACGCAGCAACGCCGCGUGAAGGAUGAAAUCCUUCGGGAUGUAAACUUCGCAAGUAUGGGAAGAAAAAAUGACGGUACCAUAUGUAAGCCCCGGCUAACUCCGUGCCAGCAGCCGCGG
rnacentral:rRNA from 1 species